GUAGUGGAUAAAGCUCCGGGGAGGAUGCCACGGUGCGGGGCGCGUCGCCCCCCUCAGGCCACCAGAGCCCGGAUACCUCAGAAAUUCGGCUCUGGGUCUGUGGGGAGCGAAAUGCAACCCAAACCCCGUUUCCCCGAAGCCCCGCGCAGAUAAACACGCACAAGCACGCACACAGACGUCGCCUCGGCCCGCACUCGCAGCCGCAGGUCCAGGCGUCAGGGAAGAGCCCGGGGGGCCCGCGAUGGGUCGCCGCCUUCGCCUCGUAGCCCCGGGCGCGGCCGCUCGCCCUCGCCUCUCGCAGGUGGCGACAGAAGUGCCCGGCGCAACGGCGCAACGGCCGGUCUGGGCCUGCAGCCUCGGCGGCCCGGGCCGGAGGGGAGCGGCCUCCGGACACCGGUAGGCGGGGUUGCGGGGCAGGCGGGGAGCCGGGGAGGGACAGGCGGAGUCGGCCACGGACGACGGGCUCCCGCUGCGCUUUCCCGACCCACGGCCCGCAGCCGCGGCCCUUGAGCUGAGCAGCGGCGGUUCCCGGGCGGCUGGGCGCUCGCCGGCCUCGCCGUUACCAUUGGAGGUGACCUAGGCGCGGCGGGUGGGCUCCGGCGACGGAGGCGGCCGCGAUGGCGUCGGCCCGGGAGCAGGGCCGUUGCUUCUAGCUUAAUACGGCAGAUGCGCGGAAACUCCAACAGGUGGCUCCGUGGCGCAAUGGAUAGCGCAUUGGACUUCUAGAGGCUGAAGGCAUUCAAAGGUUCCGGGUUCGAGUCCCGGCGGAGUCGAAACGUUUUUCUUUUGUCACCGAGGAAAUUUAUCUUUGAUUUCUGUCUUUUAUUCCUUUUCUUUGUAUUCUAAACGGCUUAAUUCCCAGCACAACCACACACCAUUCCCGCUGCUCUCCGCAACCCUUACCUGGAGUUCCGGGAGCUUUCAGACCCCUUUAGCAGACCCGGACCGAUCCCAGUCGAGAGAACGGGGAGGCAGUAGAGAAUUGGCCUAAAUGAGAGCUCGACCUUGGCCUAAAUGAGAGCUUGAGAUAGGCCUGGGUCUCGAGUGACAUUCCAAGUCUGGAGCUUGACAGUGACUGCCAGCAGGGUCAAGAAAACAGGAUGCGCAAGCUAGUCCGAAGGCAUUAGAAGUACACCACCUCACCUCACCCCACCCCGCCUCCGGAAUCUCGAGUGGAUCUUGUUUUGUUUUUUUGUUUGUUUGUUUGUUUUUUUUAAAAAGGCAGAUCUCUGUGGUCAUUUCAUGAUGCCAUUUCGGUGGAUCUGGAAUGGGGCCCAGAAAUCUGCAUUUCUGGGGUUGUCUGCUUUCUUCACGAAAGGAGACAGGUUGGAGUUGACAGGCUUUGCCUGCCAGCUAGAGGCAAGAGCUACUGUCUUGUCCCCUUCUGACAAGUGACAAAACUAGCUUUGCACAGAGUGAGCGUUUCACUUCACCAAGUGCCAGUAUGCAUAGUUUUUAAAAAUUCACUGUACCGACAAAACCCCUAAUUUAUGCAAACCGUAAAAAAAAAAAUCAAAAUUGUCGGUAAAAACACACUUUCACAGUAUAUUUCACCUCUUUCAGUUAAUACAGGUGGAGCUGCACUGCUCCGUUGUGUCCCGCUGAUGGAAUAGCUAAUACUUAGACCUUUAGACAGGCAUUGUUCACCCCUUGCAGUCCUUGAGUGGACAUCCUGUUCUUUGUGCACAAGUGUAUCUUUACAAUAGAUUCCUAGGAAGUUGAACCGCUGGCUCCAGCCGGUUCCAGCGCUCCCAAUCUCUGCCUGCUUUGAUAAGGUUUGGCAGCUUCCCCUCAUACACUCUGCUCACUUUAUUCUCCCCAGCAGUGUGGGAGAAUGCCUGUUUCCCACAACCCCCGUCCCCCGAAACAUAAACACUUAAUCGUAGUUUUCAACCCACUUCUUCAUGCUCGAGGUAACUUGUACUUUGUUUUCUGUGAUUUAUCUGUCCUAGGAUUGAGCUCAUUUUCAUAUUGCGUUGCUCACACCCACGUAGGAUGGUUUUAAUAGGAUGUUUGUAUUAGUUUGUAGUUCUUUACCUAGGAGAGAAAACAGCCUUCUGGUUUUAAUAAAUGCUGUUUAUUUUCCAGUCUACUUGUGUGCUUAUGAAACGUUUUCCUCCCACAGAAAUUCACAUACUGUAAUUGACCAGUGUUGCUAGCUUCUAAGUGUGAAGGCCCCCAGAGUGUUAGUUCCCUUUUAAUGGUUUUCUUUUUAAACCUUUGCCCCAUCUGAAAUAUCUUUUGGAAUGGGAGUUCUACCCCAGAGUUGCUGGUGUUGAGCCUCUGUGUCCUCUGUACUAAUUUGAAAUGCCACCUUCAUUGCUGUCUAAAGCCCAGUACACACUUCUCUUUCUGGAUUUUCUAGUUUGCUGCAUUGGUCUGAAAUUUUUGUGUGCUAUUAUACAGUCUAGAGGGGUCAAGUUAUUUUUUUAAUUUCCUUGCAUAAUCAUGAAUUAUUCAUUAAUAUAAUAAAGUAGCUUGGUCACAAGCUACACAUGCUGUGAUUUAUAAAUUAUGAAUAAGUCCCCCUUGUUUGAUAACAUGGACUGUGGGAAACAAGCAUUCUGACACAUUGCUGGGGAGACUAGAGAGAGUAUAGGCUCUAGUGAGGACGUUAGACAUCUUUUUGUCUCCGCCAGAACAAGAUAAGCAAAUGUAAGUUCAUUCUGACUCGUGGUUUCAGAGGUUCUGAAGAAGGAAGGAACUACAGCUUGUUGUCCAAAGAAAGGAGAGGCAAACUCUGGACCCUUUGUGUACAUCACAGGCCUGCCCUCAACAGCUUCCUCAUAAAACAGUGCACUAGGCAAAAGGCCAGGACGUCUACAGACCUAGUCCUUUAUGACCUCACUGAGAGCUGCUGGAGAAUGAGGAAGUCACAACAGGGAAUCCAAGGAGAAACUCUUACUAAGGGAAAGGCCAGUUCCUCAAGACUUACUGCGGAAGCCUCCAGAUCACCUUGGCUGACAACCGGUCAGCAAAAUCUCGGCAUUUACCUUUAGUUGAUUAAACUCACACAGCCAGGCAGAAUAUGUUAGCUUCCUGCUAGCUUAAGAGAAAUAACACUUCUGACAUGGGGGUCCUGGGACCCCCGUUAGUUGUCUGGGUUACUUUGUAGAAACUUGAGUGAACUUUUGCUAAGUUAGGAGUCUCCUCUGGAGCCUACAAUACCUGAUGGAUAAAUACAAUAAAAACGUAAACUAAGAAGGCUUUGCAUCUGUCUUCCUGUAGUGUCUGUCCCUUUUGCAGUCUUAACUCCUGGGUCAGCUCUACUUAUAAAUGUUUAUCACUUAAAGCACUGCUUUGUCCCUUGCCCUGUUGCCUGUUGGAACUGGUGUUUCUUCUACCCCUCCCUUGUGUGUCCCAGGCAACUUAUGCAUCUGCAGUCUAUACCACGAGACCAGAAUGUUUGAGGAGUAAUUGUGUGUGUGUGUGUGUGUGUGUGUGUGUGUGUGUGUGUGUGUGUGUGCGCGUGCAUAAGAAGCCUAUCUUUUGGAAACUUUUGGGACUAAUGGACAGUGAAACUUUAGUUCAUCCCCCAAAAGUCAAAAGCCACUCUUUCAUUUGGUAAAGCUAGCACCACGGUCACCUUUUUGGUCAGUGUUAUCUCUCUUUUACUCUUAUGCUAAAGAGCCCAUAAAUGGGAGCUCUGCCUUGCUUGUCCAGGUUCAUACCAUAUGCUUGGAGCCUAGCUCGAAGACACAGAUUUAGAAUCUGAACUACUCUAGAGGCUGAGGCAAGAGCAUCAGAGGUUCAAGGUCUGCCUGUAGAAACACCCCCAUUUCAGAAGCUCUAGAGAGGUCUGACACUACAACGCAGAGCCUGUAUAUCAGAAAUUAAAAAAGCCAAUAUUGUGACUUGGUCUCAUUUCUGUUGUUCCCAAGCCAUAAAUCCUGCUAUCUAAUCUCAGUCCACAGUUCCUUGGCUUGGAUGCUUCUGUGUCCAUGUUGAGGCAGAACACCACAGCAAGGAAACAAGUAUAGAGCAACACAGGUCACAUCAGCAGACAGGAGGGCAGGGGUAGCAGAAGCAAGAUAAUAGACUUCCCAAAAGCAUGUCCUCAAAUACCUGCUCUCAACAAGGUCCUAAGUUUUCACAUCCUAAUAGCCCAUCAAAGAAUCAAUCUAUAGAUGGCUUAGAGUCCUCAAGAUAAAAUUUUAUCCCCAAAGCUCAGACUCUAUAGGACAAACUUAAACUUUUGAUCCUCUUACCUCUGUGAGUUCCAAGCAUGUGUAAGCAGUUCAUGUGAUGUUAAUGAUCACAUCCAGGGCUUUUGGUGCAUGCUAUGCUAGGCAAGCUACCAACUGAGCUUCGUCCCCCGUCUGCAUUUAUUGGCUUCUAUAGUCAGGCUUCAGUGAUUAAUGGGCUCUCUGGAAGCCCACCUGUUAAAUUACUAAGCUCCAAGAGCCCAUCUGAUAAGCACCUGCAGGAAUCCCUCUUGUUUAGAACUGGAGAAGCAGCUGAGUGUGGUGGAGUACUCUGUACUUUGAUCACAGCCCUUGGAUGGCAGAGUCUGGUGGUGGUUUGAGCUUGAGGCCAGCCUAGUCUGUCUAGUGAGUUCCAUGACAGCAACAGCUGCAUAGUGAGACCCUGUUUUAAAACAAACAAAUGAACAAUGCCCCUAAACUUUGAGUCCCCCCCGCAGGACCAUAUUCCAAAUGUUUCAUACAUUAUUGCUGAGUGUGGAUUUACUUUAAAGGCCAUGGGAAGAUGCUGAGUCAUCAUUAGCGGGGAAGCCAUAUGAUGUGCUUGGUAUAAUUCUGCUGCUGCAGUGUAGACCAUGGACUGGGGCUAUUGAAGACACAAAAGCAAGAAAAUGUUGAGAGCUGGAAGGAGGGAGGUGGUUGAUGGGAUGGCUGAGAAUACAAACUUGAGGUGUUUACCAGAAGACAUGAGCCUGGAACUAAGAGAUGCAGGAGGGCAAGAGCAGCUAGCUAGUGUGCCAGAGAUUUGCUGUUUCGUCUUAGGCUAGUGGGUGAGUGCUGAUGCAAUUAAGGCAAAAAAUAAAAAUACUGGAAUGAGCAUGUGAGAAUAAUGAGUUCAGAUAAUGCAUGGGUUUGGUUUGAGGUCUCUGGGACACCCUAGAGAUGUACUGUUGGUACUUAGACAUGACAGAACGUAGUGUAGUGAAUGUUUACAGACUGGAAGAACAUGGCAAAGAAAAGUGGAAGGUGUGAUGAGAAAGAAAGACUUAAUGCUAAGGAGACAGCAACAGGCUUUGGACUUAACUGAUCUACUACUCCACGCUUGGCUGUAGCCGUCAGUCCAACUUUCGUUAGUCAUCAGGUCUAAUAAUUGAGUGAAUCAAGUUUUGAGGACAUCACUAAACCAAGACAGAUUCACCCAUUAUUCAAACACAGACGGUCCCUUGCAAGUGUGACUUAAACUGAUGACAGUGGAGAGAAAGAGACUUGGAUUGCGCAGAAGCGGCAGUCUGUUUUCCUGGGCUAGUGAUGAUUCUCGUCAUGCUGGGCAUGUUAUCAGUUUGUGCAACGGCAGACUAACGUAAUGUUCUGAACACUUGAGGGAAUCUAGGUAAGGCCUUGGUACAUUAGGUUAAAUGCAUCUUCAGUUUACACCACUUUCAACUUAAACGCAGUUUAUUAGAACAGAACCCCAUCCGGAGUUGACAUAUGCAAAUACUUGCAGGCCAGGAUGACAAGGAUCAACAGCAGAUGUUUUCAGGCUGGGGAGAUGGGUCAGUAGGUAAAGAAGCCCGUGGCGGAGGUUGAUGGACUGGGACCCAUAUGGUGAGAGAGAACCAACUCUCACAUCUGUCCUCUGAGCACCAUGUGCAUGCCCCCCACCCCAAUCAAAAAUGUAAUAAAAAUACAAGUUCCUACCUUUGUAACAGGACCACAGACUUAACACAGCUGACACCAUGACAGAAGUACCAUUCAAGCCUUAAAAUCCAGCACAUAGGCAGCAACACCUGCCCAAAGGAGGACAAAGACCUAAUCCACCAAAGUCUAUGGUCUUAAAAAAGUUCCUAAAUAUACUAACGUUGCUUUUUGGCCUCUGCAGUUCCACAUCUGGGUGUUCUCCCUGAGGUGUGUCAACCCAGGAUGUGGUUUUUAUGCUUAAAAGUGCACUCUGAGAAAGGCUCAGGGCUGCACUAGGGUCCCACACACGCGGGGUAGUCACCAGCUGACCAAUGAAGAGUUUCUAUGGCUCGAACCCUUGCUGGAACAGACUUCUCUGUGGAUACCUACCUCAACACCUUCUUACAGGUACACUAAGACAUUAUUUAUGGUUUGGAAGUUUUUUUGUUAUUUGGGACAGCAUUGCAUAUAAAACAAACUCAUUAGGUAGCUGAAGCUGACUUUCAGUCUCUGAUCCUCCUGCCUCUAGCACCUCAGGUACUAGAAUUUCAGGCAUGUAAUUUUGGAAGAUUUAAAAUAAACUUUGAAUGUU
ensembl:processed_transcript